rnacentral:rRNA from 1 species
GACGAACGCUGGCGGCGUGCUUAACACAUGCAAGUCGAACGGAAAGGCCUGCUUUCCCUUGUGGAUUGCGGGUACUCGAGUGGCGAACGGGUGAGUAACACGUGAGUGAUCUGCCCCCAACUUGGGUAUAAGCCUGGGAAACUGGGUCUAAUUCCCGAUAGGACUGCAGGGUGGUGCCUGUGGUGGAAAACGAUUUUCUAGUGGUUGGGGAUGAGCUCGCGGCCUAUCAGCUUGUUGGUGGGGUAAUGGCCUACCAAGGCGGCGACGGGUAGCCGGCCUGGGAGGGUGGACGGCCACAUUGGGACGGGGAUACGGCCCAGACUCCUACGGGAGGCAGCAGUGGGGAAUAUUGCACAAUGGGCGGAAGCCUGAUGCAGCGACGCCGCGUGGGGGAUGACGGCCUUCGGGUUGUAAACUCCUUUCGACCGCGAGGAAGCCACCUGGUUGGAAGGGUGGUGACGGUAGUGGUAGAAGAAGCACCGGCUAACUACGUG